CAAAGGGCAUUUUGGGUCAAAAACCUGGACUUCUUAUGCCAACUGCGAGGCCCUGAAUUAUUUUUCUUACGCAAAAUCAUAAACACACCUCCUCUUUCGGUACCGAACAUGAAAAUACGUCACAAGACCCUCAUCACCUCCUCUGCAUGUGGCGAGAUUCCCUAUGACGUGUGAAAGU
rnacentral:lncRNA from 1 species